rnacentral:rRNA from 1 species
UGGGGAAUAUUGCACAAUGGGCGCAAGCCUGAUGCAGCCAUGCCGCGUGUAUGAAGAAGGCCUUCGGGUUGUAAAGUACUUUCAGCGAGGAGGAAGGCGUUGUGGUUAAUAACCGCAACGAUUGACGUUACUCGCAGAAGAAGCACCGGCUAACUCCGUGCCAGCAGCCGCGGUAAUACGGAGGGUUCAAGCGUUAAUCGGAAUUACUGGGCGUAAAGCGCACGCAGGCGGUCUGUCAAGUCGGAUGUGAAAUCCCCGGGCUCAACCUGGGAACUGCAUCCGAAACUGGCAGGCUAGAGUCUUGUAGAGGGGGGUAGAAUUCCAGGUGUAGCGGUGAAAUGCGUAGAGAUCUGGAGGAAUACCGGUGGCGAAGGCGGCCCCCUGGACAAAGACUGACGCUCAGGUGCGAAAGCGUGGGGAGCAAACA